rnacentral:rRNA from 1 species
UCAAGCAAAAAAGAGCGCAGGGUGGAUGCCUUGGCACUAAGAGCCGAUGAAAGACGUGAUAAGCUGCGAAAAGCUGCGGGGAGGAGCAAAUAUCCACUGAUCCGCAGAUGUCUGAAUGGGGAAACCCGCAUGAGCAUACCUCAUGCAUCCAUACGCCAAUCCAUAACGUAUGGAAGGGAACCGCCUGAACUGAAACAUCUAAGUAGGGCGAGGAAGAGAAAGAAAAUUUUUCGAUUUCCAAAGUAGCGGCGAGCGAAAUGGAAAGAGGCCAAACCGGAGUGCGUGCACUCCGGGGUUCGGACCGCAUUUAAGAUUCAGUGAUUCUAGCAGAAAGGUUUUGGGAAAGCCUGCCGGAGAGGGUGAAAGCCCCGUAAGCGAAAGAGGAACUGACUGAGCGGUAUCCAGAGUACAUCGAGACACGAGAAACCUUGAUGGAAUGAGCGGGGACCACCCCGUAAGCCUAAAUACUCCUUAGUGACCGAUAGCGCAUAGUACUGUGAAGGAAAGGUGAAAAGGACCCCGGGAGGGGAGUGAAAGAGAACCUGAAACCCUGUGUUUACAAGCUGUGGGACAUCUUUACAUGAUGAACCGCGUACUUUUUGUAGAACGGUCCGGCGAGUUGCGGAUGCCGGCAAGGUUAAGCACUUAAGGUGUGGAGCCGAAGGGAAACCAAGUCUGAAGAGGGCGCAUAUAGUCAGUAUCCGCAGACCCGAAACCGGGUGAUCUACCCAUGUCCAGGUUGAAGUUGCCGUAAAAGGCAAUGGAGGACCGAACGCACAUCCGUUGAAAAGGGUGGCGAUGAGGUGUGGGUAGGGGAGAAAUUCCAAUCGAACCCGGAGAUAGCUGGUUCUCCUCGAAAUAGCUUUAGGGCUAGCCUCGUUUUAGUCUUAUGGAGGUAGAGCACUGAAUUUCCGCGGGGGCGUCAAAGCUUACCAAAGAAUAUCAAACUCCGAAUGCCAUGUAGAUGAUGAACGGGAGUCAGACUGCACGAGAUAAGUUGGGCAGUCAAAAGGGAAAGAGCCCAGACCGCCAGCCAAGGUCCCAAAGUGUGUGUUAAGUGGAAAAGGAUGUGGGAUCUCCAAGACAACUAGGAUGUUGGCUCAGAAGCAGCCACACAUUCAAAGAGUGCGUAACAGCUCACUAGUCGAGAGGUCCUGCGCCGAAAAUGUCCGGGGCUGAAACACAACACCGAAGCUGCGGAAUUGCGAAUGCAAUUGGUAGAGGAGCAUUCUUAAUACCGACGAAGCUGUACCGGAAGGAGCAGUGGAGGGAUAAGAAGAGAGAAUGCCGGAAUGAGUAGCGAGAGAGAGGUGGGAAUCCUCUCGGCCGAAUAUCCAAGGUUUCCAGAGUAAAGCUGAUCUGCUCUGGGUAAGUCGGGGCCUAAGGCGAGGUCAAGAGACGUAGCCGAUGGACAACAGGUUUAGAUUCCUGUACCGCAUAUAAACAGAACUGUGGGGACGCAUGGGGAGAGCAUGGGCCGGGAAUGGAAAUACCGGUGCAAGCGAAGGAGGUGUGCAGCCGGCAAAUCCGCUGCAUGAGCCGAAAGCGUGACGCGGAGCGAAAUGAAAGUAGCGAAGCAUGUGAGCCCUGUGCCGAGAAAAGCCGCUAUAGCUUUAUAUGUGCCCGUACCGUAAACCGACACAGGUGGAUGAGGAGAGAAUCCUAAGGCCGGCGGAAGAAGUAUUGUUAAGGAACUCGGCAAAAUGACCCCGUAACUUCGGGAGAAGGGGUGCCCACGGGAGUGGGCCGCAGAGAAUAGGCUCAAGCAACUGUUUAGCAAAAACACAGGUCUAUGCGAAACCGAAAGGUGAAGUAUAUGGGCUGACGCCUGCCCGGUGCUGGAAGGUUAAGAGGAGAGGUUAGAGCAAUCGAAGCUUUGAAUUUAAGCCCCAGUAAACGGCGGCCGUAACUAUAACGGUCCUAAGGUAGCGAAAUUCCUUGUCGGG